CUGGCUCAGAACGAACGCUGGUGGCGUGUCUUAUACAUGCAAGUCGAGCGAGGCAGCAAUGCCGAGCGGCGAACGGGUGAGUAACGCGUAAGCAAUCUGCCCCAUAUCAGGAAAUACCCGUGCCAACGCGCGGUUAAUGUCUAGGAGAGUGGCUCCUUGCAUGAGGAGUUGACUAGAGAUUUAUCGGUAUGGGAUGAGCUUGCGUCCGAUUAGCUAGUUGGCGGGGCAACGGCCCACCAAGGCGACGAUCGGUAGCCGGCCUGAGAGGGUGAUCGGCCACAUUGGGACUGAGAUACGGCCCAGACUCCUACGGGAGGCAGCAGUAGGGAAUAUUGCACAAUGGGGGAAACCCUGAUGCAGCAACGCCAACCGUGUGGGAAGAAGCAUUUCGGUGUGUAAACCACUGUCAUGAGGGAAUAAGGCCCUUAUCCGUAAGGGAUUGAAUGUACCUUGAGAGGAAGCACCGGCAAACUUCGUGCCAGCCGCCGC
rnacentral:rRNA from 1 species